GACGAACGCUGGCGGCGUGCUUAACGCAUGCAAGUCGAACGGAAAGGCCUCUUUCGGGGGGUACUCGAGUGGCGAACGGGUGAGUAACACGUGAGUAACCUGCCCUUGACUUUGGGAUAACUUCAGGAAACUGGGGCUAAUACCGGAUAGGAGCUCCUGCUGCAUGGUGGGGGUUGGAAAGUUUCGGCGGUUGGGGAUGGACUCGCGGCUUAUCAGCUUGUUGGUGGGGUAGUGGCUUACCAAGGCUUUGACGGGUAGCCGGCCUGAGAGGGUGACCGGCCACAUUGGGACUGAGAUACGGCCCAGACUCCUACGGGAGGCAGCAGUGGGGAAUAUUGCACAAUGGGCGGAAGCCUGAUGCAGCAACGCCGCGUGCGGGAUGACGGCCUUCGGGUUGUAAACCGCUUUCGCCUGUGACGAAGCGUGAGUGACGGUAAUGGGUAAAGAAGCACCGGCUAACUACGUG
rnacentral:rRNA from 1 species